AAUUGGAAUGAGUACACCUUAAAUCGUUUAACGAGUAUCAAUUGGAGGGCAAGUCUGGUGCCAGCAGCCGCGGUAAUUCCAGCUCCAAUAGCGUAUAUUAAAGUUGCUGCAGUUAAAAAGCUCGUAGUUGGAUCUGGGGCUUGAGGUCGCUGUCUAUCGUUUCGGCGAUGACGGUGAUGCUCAGCUCUGCUUGCCGGUGACUGUUGCGGUGUUCUUCACUGAGCGCUGUAGCAGCACGGCACGUUUACUUUGAAAAAAUUAGAGUGCUCAAAGCGUGCUUGUCGCUUGAAUAAUGUUGCAUGGAAUAAUGGAAUAGGACCUCGGUUCUAUUUUGUUGGUUUUCGGAGCUUGAGGUAAUGAUUAAGAGGGACGAACGGGGGCAUUCGUAUUGCGGUGUUAGAGGUGAAAUUCUUGGAUCGCCGUAAGACGGACUACUGCGAAAGCAUUUGCCAAGAACGCUUUCAUUAAUUAAGAACGAAAGUCAGAGGUUCGAAGACGAUCAGACACCGUCCUAGUUCUGACCAUAAACGAUGCCGACCAGCGAUCCGUAGUGGUUCUUUAUGGACCCUACGGGCAGCCUCCGGGAAACCAAAGUAUUUGGGUUCCGGGGGAAGUAUGGUUGCAAAGCUGAAACUUAAAGGAAUUGACGGAAGGGCACACCAGGAGUGGAGCCUGCGGCUUAAUUUGACCCAACACGGGAAAACUCACCCGGUCCGGACACCGUAAGGAUUGACAGACUGAUAGCUCUUUCUUGAUUCGGUGGAUGGUGGUGCAUGGCCGUUCUUAGUUGGUGGAGUGAUUUGUCUGGUUAAUUCCGAUAACGAACGAGACUCUAGCCUGCUAAAUAGUGUUGCUAUUGUUAUAUGGUUGACACUUCUUAGAGGGACAAGUGGUAUUUAGCCACGCGAAAUUGAGCAAUAACAGGUCUGUGAUGCCCUUAGAUGUCCGGGGCCGCACGCGCGCUACACUGGAGAAGUCAGCGUGUGUUAUCCAAGACCGAAAGGACUGGGUAAUCCGUUGAACCUUCUUCGUGCUUGGGACUGUGGCUUGGAACUAUUCCACAUGAACGAGGAAUUCCUAGUAAUUGCAAGUCAUAAGCUUGCGUUGAUUACGUCCCUGCCCAUUGUACACACCGCCCGUCGCUACUACCGAUUGAAUGGUUUAGCAAGGUCCUCGGAUCGUGGCCGUAGGGGCACGCAAGUGUUUCUGCGGUUUGCGAGAAGACGACCAAACUUGAUCAUUUAGA
rnacentral:rRNA from 1 species